UCUUUAUUAGUAUAUCGGUUAGUACACGCGCUUGUCAUUAAAGAAAUCAGGUUGAAAUUUCCGCGCGAAAGCUGUGUUCGACUCCCAGACAGAGAG